CGCCCGCCGAGGGCGGGAUCUUGAGGCGAGCGCAGCGAACUUUCCCGGAUUCCCUCGCUCGGCGCCCGCGAGUCUGUCGGGCUGGAGUGGUAGCCAUAAUCCCGGGGUCACUGGGGAGGGGGUGACCCCUUUUGGGUUCCGGAGGUCAGACUCCAGGCCAUCGUGGGUCACCUGGAGGGGCUGCAUUCAGUUGUGAUAACCAGGGCGUAUUCGGCCGUCUGGUAGUUGGUCACUUGGUAGGUCUGCGCCCAGAGGAGGGCGGUGGCCCCGUACUAAAAUCGAUGUCAGCGGCACCAUCGCCCCUUCUAGUGAGUACCUGACCUUCUGCGGUGAAGCUGGGAAAACAGCAGCUGGUUUGGGAGGGCAUUAAACCCUUAGGGAACGCUCAGCGCCUGCACACAUCCCGGCCAGAGAACCCGGUGCCCACUGUGGGGGUGGGACGUGGGGAGGGUUUGAAUAGGAAGCCCGCGGGGAGACGUCGGCUCUUGGAGCCGCUCCCGCCGAGCUCUGCCUCUGUUCGCGGUCGGGAGUCCCACUCGGGAUGCAGACUGCUCAAGAGGCCGAGCCAGUUAGGCUGACCGAGGAGGAGAGCCUCCAGCGGCCCACGGUCCAAGGCAGUGUUCGCACCUUGGGCGCUCCGGGCGCCUGGCAUCACCAAAGCCGACUCCUCCUCCACCUACUCACUCUGCGAGCCCCGCGCCCCAGAGCAGGUGUUUGAGGUCUGGUUUUGUUUUUUGGUUCUUCCAAAGUAGUCGGCAUCUAUGGAGGAGACCCCAGGCAAGGAGAAACGCCGAGAACCGGAUUGGAGUGCGUUUCAGGGGCGCGCGGAAACGCCCCGGGGAGAGCCGGGAGGCAGCGGCGACGGCGCAGCCUGGGACGGCCAGGAGCGCGGGGCGGGGAGCGGCCGGUGGCCGUGGGCGUCUCACCAAAGCGGCCCUGGAGGGGCCCCCGGCUCCCAGCCAAGCCCACGUGAAGCAGCAUCAGGGCAGUUGCAGCUGUAGAGGAACCGCGCGUCGUGAAAGCCUUGACUUACUCUCCAUUUCUGACGUUUUGGUUUUAAUUUGCACGGAGUAAACGAAGUAGCCGUCGGUUCCGGCCGCGGACCCGAAGCGCGCGCAGGCUCGGGACCCGCACUCGGGACUCCUGGCGGCACGGGUCCUGGAGGCACGAGAGACCGUAAGGGCAAAGGUCGGGAACGUGUGCUCCCCGCGUGUCCCCAGGCUACCUUCGCAGGUGUGGACAUCUCUCUGCGCUACUUUGGUGCCUUAACUCUGCUUGGUCUCCACUCGGAAGCUUUUUAUUUUUGUUUUAGAAACGAAAAGACUUUAGAGGCCAGCGCCCGUCCUCUCCCGUAGGCCGCAUCUCCAGCCCCCGCGCCCCAGGGUUGCACGGGGGGCUUGCGCGGUGGGUCUUUUUGGCGGAGAACCGCCCCGCGAGGCUCAGCUUCUCCUGCCGAGUCGCCCCUGGAACGCCCAGACCCGUGUCCGGCCCCCGAUUUUAUUUCUACUUCGGAGUCGUUUUCUUACCCAGGACUCACUCAAGAGCCCGCGCGGGAAGGACCGCCCUUUAUGAAAAGCCAGGGACUUCCAUUUCCAAACGAAAGGUAGCAAGUUAGUGGCAAAGCCGAGCCGAAACCCAGGUCCCUCGACAUCCAGCUCGGGCUUUACCACCAUCCCAAGGCCCUAAAGGCUAAAGGAAUGAGGGGGAAAGGAAAAAGGAGGGCGAGCGGGACUCUGGGAGCCCGGGUGGCUUUGGAACGUCGGUAAAGCUCAUCCUGGCCUAACGGUGCUUAAUUAUUACAGGAUCAAAAUAUCGCGCCUGAGUGGGAGCGGGCAGUGGGGACCUCUGAACCCCCGCUUGACCCCGGCGCUGUCAACUGCCCCUGCCCGAGCGCGGCGCGGGCGCUGCAGCCGUGGCCCCAGGGCCCAGCGCGCUCAGGCUGCGCUCCGGGCGUCGCCCCGCGGCCGCCCCAACUGAGUGAAGCGCGGAGCAGUCAGGGCCGGGGCCGGGGCCGGGACGGCCGGAGGACGGCCAGAGGGGGGCUCGGCGGCGCAGACCGGCAGCAGGCCCAGCGCCGGAGUCUGCCCGCCCUGGUCGCGGGGCAGGCGCUUGGGCACGGGAGAUCGCAGCUUCAUUUCUUUAAACUGAAAAAAAGGAAGGGAGGAACUUUUGUUAUAGUCCACCCUCCACCCCGGCCCCCUCUGUUCAUUUGAAAAUUAGGUCGAUGUUUUGACCAAUCCCCCAUCUCCAGUUCAAACCCAAUUCUCCGAGCCGCUUUGGGGGCGCAGGGGGCGCGCACACUGCCGGGUGCGCCGUGAAAAUUCUUCGGUUCCCCGCUCGGUGCCUCGAACCGCCGGGGCCACCGUCUGUCCUGACGCCCCGCGAGAUGGUCCCCGAGCUCCCACAGAGUCCCCGGUGAAAGGACGCUGCAGCGCCGCCUCUAUUACGAUACCGUAAAUCUUUUUAAAUUCUGGAACUAAUUAUAUAGAGGAUAUGUCUCAAUUUGUUCUGCAUUAAUGCCACAGUGGGGAUGGAGGCCGGGCCGUGGCCGGAGCAGAUACUCGGCCCAUGAAAUUGAUGAACUGAGAGCUGCUUCCAGUCCCGGGCGCACCAUCUGGAAUUCCAGUCUGAGGUUACAAUUAGAACUCCUGACCCCAGAUUCAACUCUGCAGACAACAGGGGAAAAAGGAGAAAAGCAGAAAAGCAAGAGAAAGAACACUCAACUUAUUCUGCACCUGUAAAAAAAAAUCCCCACACAAUCUUAAAAUCUAUCUUAGAGAAUUCUUUCCAAGUAUUUCUUCUGUGUUUUUUUAACCUGUAAAAGAUAAUGGAAUAUAUUUUAUAGACUGGAUCUUAUCUUAUCUCUUUUUCCUCUCCUGACUGCACUCAGUUUAAUAGUUGUCAGUUUUUCCUCAGUGUUGGAUUUAAUUAUGUAGGACCAAAAGAUUCCUCAGUAAAUUAGAUUGCUGAAUAUUCUGUUGUUUGUGUGAUUUCGCCUUUGAGAAACAGCUUAAUUACAGAAAUUUAUCUGGAUCUAGGAACUUUUCUUCUUUUGACUGUUUCUCCAGCUUAACUGUAAUCAGAGAUUUUAUUUGUGUUGUAACUUUAUUUGUGUUCUAAAUCGGUUGGACCAAUUUCUUCCUUCUUUCUUUAGUAACACGCUGCUUUAUUUUCCUCUCACUUUGACCCCUGAAGAAAGUGAAGGACCAGGCAGUGCUGGGGAAUCUGUUAAAUUUAUUAGCAUAAAUGCUUAGACAAAACGAGGUAUAAAUCAUUCAGAUGUAUUAAGCCAUAAAAUAUCCCAAUGAAGUCAGUCCCUUGCCAGGGUCCUGGUGUAUAAAUGUUCGUAUAAAACAAGGUAUCAGUAUUAUCUUUCAAACUGGAUAUAUGUUGUAAAAAUAGCCAAACAUUGAGAGGAACAUGGGGCGGUGGCAGGAUGGCGGUGUUCUUUAGAGCAGCCUGUUGGCGUUGUGGUGGCUCAAAAAGUGACAAACAAAAAAUCUCAACAGUUUGCAUUUGAAAUACUCAGUAGACAGAUUUUUAAAGGGAGAUUUGCAGGAUAUACUUGAUGGGAAGCAAAGAAAUAAGGAAGAGAUGAACAGAGAGCAAAAGGCAGUGCUUUUUCUGUAGAAUGCAUUUUUUUUUUAAAUCAAUUUAGCUGCAAAAAAAUCUGCUCAGAAAAGGCACUGGCUCAGCAUACAGAUAACGAAUGAGCCAUCAGUGAAGAGCCACCUGGGCCUUGGUUUACAAGCCCGGAUGUGCAGCUGGUCGACGGAGAAGGCUGUGUAUUCACUGGAGGUGGACGGGAGAAGAGAGUGGGGAGUGAGGCAGGGGAGUUGUCAGGCUCCCUAGCAGGGUUACCGAGACAAAAAUCAGAGACAAGUCUAAGGAGCAAUGGCUGGCACAGCUCAUAACCACGGCUCUCCGAAAAUCUUGGCAAAUCAGGGCAUUCUUUGCCUUUUAGAAAUGGUGAUUCUGAAGCUUUUUUUAAAAUUAAGGCAUCUACCAGAUAAAGGGAGUAGUCCCCCUUUGUUUUCAGCAGGGGCAUCCUCAUCCUUUUGGUGCCACCUGAGUGCCAGGCAUCGUGCAGGGACUGAGGAUGCUGCCGGCCAGGCUCCCCCUGCUCCCGCGCAGCUUAUGUUCCAGGAGGAACAACAGACAAAUUAUGAGCGAACAAGCGAGAUGCUUUCAGACAGUGGCAGCCGCCGUAAAGGAGCAAGGAUGUCUGUUAGCCGAGAGAUCACUAGAGGGAGAGGGGAGUAGGAACGACCAGCCCUCGCUCCUUUGCUGCUUUCUGUCUUCCACCACAUGCCACGUUUUCACGUGUCUGCUGAGUAUCCCACCCGACUGCCGACGCAGGAGGGGCCUGAAGGGUUUAGGACGCUCGGUCUGGGUCCAUCUCUGCCUGCAAGGUGCUGGACUUCAGGGACUCCACGGAGCAGCUGUUGAGACAGAGCUGGGUUUAAAUCGCCACCACCAGCUGAGCGACUAUGAAAGAUACUUAACCUCUGGGAAACUCGAUUUUCUCCUUCAAGAUAAAAAAAAAACUACAGUGCCUCUUCGCGUUGUAAGAACUGGCUGAGGGAAGUCGUGGGAUUUCGUAGCUGGUAGGAAGUGCUCAGGGAAUGGUGGCUGUUAUCUGUAUUGACAUAGAUUCUGUUUUCCUUUACUUCUGAUAAUGUGUAAGUUCUAGACUUAGUACUGAUACGGGUGUGAGUUUAGAAAAGUAGCAGUCUUCGUUCUCGUUGGGUCAGGGAGGGGCCAGGAAGGCAAGCCCUUUGCCACCGAGUCUGACUUUAAGGAAGGUUGCUGCCACCUUGAAGAAAACUGAAACCAUUUUGUCCUACACCUGGGCCCUGAAAUAGGAAAUAUGUGGAUUUUGCUUCAAAAUCAAGCUUCCAUUCUUUCCUUCAGUACAGAAGGGUAUAGGUUAACAUCAGCUGGAAAAGCUGAGGAUCGCAUUGUUCCUUACAGCUGCGUUUCAGGGGCGCAGGCUGGUCCGGAAUAAGGAAUCCUGGGCUAGGUAUAAAAACACCUGGGCUCAAAUCCUGUGUCUGCCAAGGACCGUGGCUUUGGGGAAACAGCUUAAGUUCUCAAUUUCUCAGUACCUGAAACAAGGAUGAUAAUAAAAAUGAAAUAAAGCAUACAGAGUGAUUUGAAAACUGUAAAGUGCUAGGCGGGACAGAGAACCAUCCGGAUGCUCUGUCAUGUGGGAACGCACCGCAGAAAGUGCUGUUGGGGCUUUGAGGGUACAUGGCUUGUUCCCAGGUUUCUCCGUUUGUGAAGUGGGCACCGUACCUUCCCCAGAGGGCUGCGGUGAGACCUGGACGAGCCUGGUGAACUUUGCAAACAACCUUUGGCAGAGUGUGCGCCGUGGGCGUUGCUGUUACUGUUACUCUCACCUUCUCUGGCCUCCUCCUGGGCCCAGAGCUGAGCCUGUGUCUACACACUGAUAGUUUCUUACUCUGGAAGUUCAGAACAGUAGGAAGACCAAGGCUUAGGGGUCAGAUGCUGGGGUUUAAAUCCUCCUCUGCUCCUUUUUUUCUGUGUGGCUUUGGGUGACUUCCUUAUUCUCUCUGAGCAGGAAUUUUCAUAACUGUAACAUGGGGCUAACGAUGCCUUCACCUCACAGAGUUGUUUUGAGAACAAAUCAACACACACGUGUAAAGUCCCUACGUGGUGCCUGGCAUGUAGUCACAAAAAAAUAAAUGGUCAUUAUUAAAUUUUCAACUUGUCUAAUCAGAGAAUAUUAACCGACUUCGAAAAACAGAUCAGCCAUCAAGAAGGUGGUUUACAGCGUGACUGAGCAUGCGCAGAAACAGAUUCCCAUCUUCUUUUAAAUUCUAAACCUGUACCAGGUUGAAACCUCACUCUUCCCUGUAUGAAAGAUGCUGCAGUCGAGGCAUUGACAAUGUUUCCUUUGACUACAAGCUCUGUAGGUUAAAAGACAUUAUCCCAUUUAUUUUCACUGGGUUUCUUUGCAGAAUAUCCAGCAUACAUCAAGGACUUUGGUAACCCCAUGUUUUGCAAAAUAAGCAGGAAGCUGUUUCAGCCAAUGGAGGUAAAAAGCAGUUUGACUCUUCCCGAGUUGCCACAUCGCGUUAUUAAUAGCUCCGUAAACAGGCUUGAACAUAGUAUCAGCUGGCUGCUCAAGAGAUUACAAAAGUUUAUGAGAAGUUGCUUAGGAAAAACAAGAUAGAGUCAUUAGAAAUCUGAUACUGGUCAAUAGUGCGUUUAUUCCAAGUCUCCAUAAAUCACAAACAAAUGAAACCUCUAUUGUGAUCACUGUUCCAGAUCUAAAGGGUUCCCCUCUCCCCUUUGGUAGAAAUUAAAGACAUUUAAGAAAGCCUAGGAUUUUUUUCUCUACCAAUACAGAGGCUAAUUACAAAAUUUCCCAGGAGAUAAUAAAUAAACUAAGCAGCAGAUGUGACCACAAUAAAUGAGAAGGACAUAACUUAACUUGGAUUCUCUAUUACAGCACAUGUUUAUCUUUAAUUAUCCCCAACCUGGGAAUGGAGUAACUGUUGUUAUCUGCUAUAUUUAUUAUUUAUUUCUAGAGUGACUCCACAUUUUUAUUUUGCCCAGGACAGUCUCAGUUUAAGCUCUUGUCCUGACUUAAUUAUUAAUUGCUCUCCUUUUAUUCCCAGAAGUGUCCUGGUUUUGAUUCUAAAUGAUAAGGACUCCACUUGCUUAAAAUUUUAUUUUAUAAAAAAGAUUUAAGAAAGCCAUUAGAACAAAGAUGAAAGACCAAGAGUUAAGUGUGUCUAGGGAGAAGAAGAAAAGAUUGGAUUAAUAUUAGAAAUCAAAGGAUGAGGAUAGUUACUGUAGUUGAAAAUAAAUUUAGUUCUGAGUUUCCUGACAGCUUAGUCAAAAAGGGAAAAUAAAACUAGUUACUUAUCUCUCAAUAUGCAAUAAAGGAAGAAACCCAAUUUUUCAGAAGAGACAAACUUUUCUAAACUCUAAGAGGAUCUUAUCUCACUGGCCUUUCUAUAAGGGUCAUCAGACGAUGGUUAGUGACUUCCACAAUAAUGUUUCAAAAACUGCGGACACAUUCUCUGAUUGGUGGUUUCCCAUUUCAACCAAAUGAUGUAGUCUUUAAUUUAUAGUUUUGUGUGCUUUUUCUAAGAGGAGAGAGGCAAUAACAUAGUCCCUUUUUAUAGUUUUGUGGGGGUCUGACCUGAUUUAAAUUAACCUAAUGUGUUAAUUUUCAGAAACUCCCAACUGAUAAUUUUUACAAACAUCUUUUAUUCAUUAAUCAUCGAAUAACUUUGAACAUGAACCAAAACACUGCUAAGGACCUAACCCUGUUCUCCAGAAUCUGUGAUCUGAUGUGGGGAGAGCCCAAGGGCAGUGGUUCUAAACUGAGGUGAUUUGCACACAGCCCCCACCCUCACCCCCUGGACAUCUGGCACCGUCUGGAGACUGUUGUGAUUGCCACAGCUCAGUGGGGUAGGAAGGCGGACGCCACUGGCAUCUAGUGGGACACUGCUAACAUUCUUCAAUGCACAGUAGAGUCCCCCACUAAAAAGAGUUAUCCAGCCCAAAAUGUCAGUCGUGCUGAGGUUGAAAGACCCUGCCCUAGGUACUGUCAGCAGGAGAGAUCAUCAUUUCUAGCUGGAGUACAAAGGAAAAAGGUUCGUGGCGGAGGGAGCCUUGAGCUCACUUCCCCCACCCCACCCCAGGGCGGGUGGAGACUCCACUCCCCAGGCUCGAGAAAUGGUGGUGAGGAAACAGCAGGUGAGGAGAGGCCAGGCAUGGUGCAGGGCUGCCGUCCACGCAGGAGCUGUGGGUUAACUGGUUUGGCCAGAAAAGAGGGGGAAUCCGUGUGGAGCAGUAAGAGAAAGGCAGAGUGUACACACACACUCAGAGCAAAGGGUUCUGUUCUGACGCUAUGCUCCAAGAUCCCUCAAUAUUGCUAGCAUUUUUUGAAAAGCACACAAAUCAAAGACAGCAUAAAUGUUGUCUAUGUUCCCCAAGACCGUUUCGUGAACGCCGCUUGUGGUGUGUACAGGGAGAGACACAUCAUUUUUCACCACUUACAUAUUAGAGAUUCCUUGGAACUCAGUUUUAUAUCGCAUCAAAUUUAAAAAAUGGGUGCCUACUUAAAAAUACAACCUAUCCAGGCACAGAAAAUUCUGAACCAAUGCUGUAAUUAAUAAAA